GAUGGCAGUGGCUGUCCUAAACUGGGGACUGCGGGUCUGAAUUCCUGUCUUUCCCAGCCUCAGCUCUGCAGAGAACUAAGGGUGAGGCAAGUCWGGAUCCAGUUCUGGGCGACCUGAUAGAAGGCUCGGCCUCAUUUGGUCCUCGCCUGUCUAUCGAGCAAGAAGGGAGCGUUAGGGACAUGCGGAGGACACCUAUACUAUUGGCUGGCUCUAGCAGGCUGCUUCAUGCCCCUUGGAGCGGCGUUCCCUUUUGAAAACCUGGGGCUAAAUGUCUCUUCUGCUUAUGCCAGGCGUGUUCCGCCACCAUAUGCGCUAGAGAUCCAGGUAAACCCGGCGGCCCGAGAGAGUGACUACUCCCAGGGACCCCAGCCUCCUGGCCUCCACGCUGGCUCCGCUAGUUAGCGGAUGAGGACGUUGAUCUCAGCCACGCUGGCCUCCAGCACG